rnacentral:rRNA from 1 species
CCUACGGGGGGCUGCAGUGGGGAGUAUUGGACAAUGGGCGAAAGCCUGAUCCAGCCAUGCCGCGUGUGUGAAGAAGGCCUUCGGGUUGUAAAGCACUUUCAGUGGGGAAGAAAGCCUUGGGGCUAAUACCCUCGAGGAAGGACAUCACCCACAGAAGAAGCACCGGCUAACUCCGUGCCAGCAGCCGCGGUAAUACGGAGGGUGCGAGCGUUAAUCGGAAUUACUGGGCGUAAAGCGCGCGUAGGCGGUCUGAUAAGCCGGUUGUGAAAGCCCCGGGCUCAACCUGGGAACGGCAUCCGGAACUGUCAGGCUAGAGUGCAGGAGAGGAAGGUAGAAUUCCCGGUGUAGCGGUGAAAUGCGUAGAGAUCGGGAGGAAUACCAGUGGCGAAGGCGGCCUUCUGGACUGACACUGACGCUGAGGUGCGAAAGCGUGGGUAGCAAACAGGAUUAGAUACCCGAGUAGUC